UGGGAAUUUGGACAAUGGGCGAAAGCCUGAUCCAGCAAUGCCGCGUGUGUGAAGAAGGCCUUCGGGUUGUAAAGCACUUUUGUCCGGAAAGAAAUCCUUGGCUCUAAUACAGUCGGGGGAUGACGGUACCGGAAGAAUAAGCACCGGCUAACUACGUGCCAGCAGCCGCGGUAAUACGUAGGGUGCAAGCGUUAAUCGGAAUUACUGGGCGUAAAGCGUGCGCAGGCGGUUUGCUAAGACCGAUGUGAAAUCCCCGGGCUCAACCUGGGAACUGCAUUGGUGACUGGCAGGCUAGAGUAUGGCAGAGGGGGGUAGAAUUCCACGUGUAGCAGUGAAAUGCGUAGAGAUGUGGAGGAAUACCGAUGGCGAAGGCAGCCCCCUGGGCCAAUACUGACGCUCAUGCACGAAAGCGUGGGGAGCAAACAGGAUUAGAUACCCUGGUAGUCCACGCCCUAAACGAUGUCAACUAGUUGUUGGGGAUUCAUUUCCUUAGUAACGUAGCUAACGCGUGAAGUUGACCGCCUGGGGAGUACGGUCGCAAGAUUAAAACUCAAA
rnacentral:rRNA from 1 species